GGGUUGUGAGGUUAAGCGACUAAGCGUACACGGUGGAUGCCCUGGCAGUCAGAGGCGAUGAAGGACGUGCUAAUCUGCGAAAAGCGUCGGUAAGGUGAUAUGAACCGUUAUAACCGGCGAUGUCCGAAUGGGGAAACCCAGUGUGAUUCGUCACACUAUCGUUAACUGAAUACAUAGGUUAACGAGGCGAACCGGGGGAACUGAAACAUCUAAGUACCCCGAGGAAAAGAAAUCAACCGAGAUUCCCCCAGUAGCGGCGAGCGAACGGGGANGCAGCCCAGAGUCUGAAUCAGCUUGUGUGUUAGUGGAACGGUCUGGAAAGUCCGACGGUACAGGGUGAUAGUCCCGUACACCAAAAUGCACAGGUUGUGAACUCGAAGAGUAGGGCGGGACACGUGGUAUCCUGUCUGAAUAUGGGGGGACCAUCCUCCAAGGCUAAAUACUCCUGACUGACCGAUAGUGAACCAGUACCGUGAGGGAAAGGCGNAAAAGAACCCCGGCGAGGGGAGUGAAAAAGAACCUGAAACCGUGUACGUACAAGCAGUGGGAGCACCUUCGGGUGUGNACUGCGUACCUUUUGU
rnacentral:rRNA from 1 species